rnacentral:rRNA from 1 species
AGAAUCAACGCUGGCGGCGUGCCUAACACAUGCAAGUCGCACGAGAAAGGGGAGCAAUCCCUGAGUACAGUGGCGCACGGGUGAGUAACACGUGAAUAAUCUACCUCCGAGUGGGAAUAACUGAGAGAAAUCUUAGCUAAUACCGCAUAACACUUACGAGUCAAAGCAGCAAUGCGCUUGGAGAGGAGUUCGCGGCCGAUUAGUUAGUUGGCGGGUAAUGGCCCACCAAGACGAUGAUCGGUA